GACGAACGCUGGCGGCGUGCUUAACACAUGCAAGUCGAACGGAGUGGCGAACGGGUGAGUAACACGUGGGUGAACUGCCCUGCACUUCGGGAUAAGCCUGGGAAACUGGGGCUAAUACUGGCGAUUGUGGUAUGGGGUCGCGGCCUAUCAGAUUGUUGGUGGGGUAAUGGCCUCCCAAGGCGGCGACGGGUGGCCGGCCUGGGAGGGUGGACGGCCACAUUGGGACUGAGAGACGGCCCAGACGCCUACGGGAGGCAGCGGUGGGGAGUAUUGCACAAUGGGCGGAAGCCUGAUGCAGCGACCCUGCGGUGGGGAUGUCGGCCUUCGGGGUGUAAACUCCUUUCACCAUCGACGCGGUAGAUGGAGAAGAAGCACCGGCUAACUACGUGCCAGCAGCCGCGGUAAUUC
rnacentral:rRNA from 1 species